CAUAUAUGUGCUUAUGUCAAUUCUUUAUUAAAGAUUAACAUUUCUCUCCAGGUGCCGUGUGUUUCAAAUAAGCACUUAAAACAAGAAGCAAUCACUUAUAAGUACUUCACAUAGAUACCUUUGUGUGAGGUGUUUCCAAUGAAAGUAGAUUGUCUCCUGAUAUGUUUUUUAUUCUUCAUUAUAAUUCCAGCACACUGGGGAGCACCUAGACAACGAACGUACGUGGUGUCUGAAUCCGACACAACCUCUGGUGUGACACCCUACAGAACCUACACUGUGUCUGGAACGGACACAACCUCUGAUUCUUUUAAGCUUCCAUUCUUACCCCAUGGAACCAGUACACCUCGUGGUCCUGCUCCAGCUGCACACUGGGGAGCACCUAGACAACGAACGUACGUGGUGUCUGAAUCCGACACAACCUCUGGUGUGACACCCUACAGAACCUACACUAUGUCUGGAACGGACACAACCUCUGGUGUGACACCCUACAGAACCUACACUAUGUCUGGAAUGGACACAACCUCUGGUGUGACACCCUACAGAACCUACACUGUGUCUGGAACGGACACAACCUCUGAUUCUUUUAAGCUUCCAUUCUUACCCCAUGGAACCAGUACACCUCGUGGUCCUGCUCCAGCUGCACACUGGGGAGCACCUAGACAACGAACGUACGUGGUGUCUGAAUCCGACACAACCUCUGGUGUGACACCCUACAGAACCUACACUGUGUCUGGAACGGACACAACCUCUGGUGUGA
rnacentral:lncRNA from 1 species